GUGGAAACCCCCUUCCCAUGGGGUGAAGCGGAGUCCGCUCCAGAGCCCCACUAUUGGGGUCAGGGAUGUCACAGAAAUCACUAGGGCAGCCAAUUCCCAUCCAGAGGGGGCCCAGGAUGACCCCGCACCCUCUAGCUCAGCCCGAAGCUCGGGCCAGGGAGUGAAGCCCUUGUCCCCAAGCAACAGAGUGAGGGUCUGUCUCUAACCUGGUGGGCUCCAGUGAAAGGAAAAUGGCCUGGAGGUGCCCAUAGGAGAGGGCCCUAGUUCUGAGACAGCUCUACGGAUCCCAGACUGCGUCCCCAUGAGUAACACAGGGACACGCAGAGGGGCAUGCUGACUGCCUGUAGGGGACUCACGGACUGCAGAUACACGCUGCGGAUCCAGAAGCCAGUCAGCGCACACAACCAAGCUUAGGAGCCAAGUGUUAAGAUGCCUAAGUGACACGGACAAGUUUGUCCUCUGCGACCCAGUGAGAUCUGCUCACCACAAGAGCAUCGCGGGACCGCCAAAGGAUUCUGGGAAAUGUGGUCCCGGAUGGCCAGUGUGUGCUGACCUUCACCUGAAGGUGCAGCUUGAAGGAA
rnacentral:lncRNA from 1 species